rnacentral:lncRNA from 1 species
CGGCAAGGGACGGGGCGUAGCAGGACGGCGUGUGGGGACAGACGAGAGGCAUUUCGGCACUUCCAGGCAGGAGCCAGAGGCACAGGGCAGCACUCAGCCAGAGGCGAGGGGUUGCAAUCGGAACUGGCACCAUUUCCCGGUGCAGGCAAGAGGAAGAUGAAGGUCCUGCUGAUGCCAGCACUGCUGCUCGCCUGCGGCAUGCUCACAGCUCGUGGGAAGCACCCGCACACGUUUGCUCCAGGGCUGGAAGGAAGCACUGUGGGAAACCUGACUGCCCAUGGCUGUGGAUCGGGAUGGGGCCGUGGUCGCGCUGCUUUCAUGGACCGGUGCUGCCUGCUCCGUGCCUGCUGCUACGCCAGGCUGACUGCACGUCGCUGCCGCGUGGGACAGACCCAACGCCUCCCUGCG